UCACCGGACUCAGCGCACCCCGCUUUUCGUUUUAGCCCCACGGUUUGUGUCCCGCGGCAAGGCGGGCCUCCAGCUCGCGGACCGUGUGGCUGGAGCCUCGCGCGUGCCGAUCUCCAGGCUUGCAAACGAGGAAGCCCCGGCCGCGCCCGCUCCCGGGAGGCGCCGGCACGGCAGUGACGUCACAAGCCGGCCGGCACGGGACACUGCAGAGCCGGCGCGGCACUGACGUCACAAGGUCGGGCCGGCGCGCGUCUUUGGAGACGGCGCAUCUUUGACGUCACCAGCGGGGCCGGCGCGGCCGUGACGUCACAGGACCGAGCUGGUGCGUUUCCUGGCAACGGGCGUCGGGGCCGCGCGGGCGACUUUACGGGCUCUUCCGGGGCCCCCGCGCGCUGGCAGCCGGCUCCCAUCGGCGAGUUCGAAACCCGGGUGCGCCGUUUUGAGGUGUCAAGGAGACGGGACUUGUAAAACGAUCAGAUUCGCCCCGCGGCUGCGCAGAAUCGGCCCCAGCCCGCGGCGUGGUGCCCGUUUCCCCGGUCACGCCUCCGUGCGCGGGGUCGCGCCAAGUGGUGGAAUAAAAGCUUACAGAGACACAUCUUCCGCCAUCACUCGACAGUUAGGAGCCAGGAGUAGUAGAAAGCUUGGUCAUCACCAUCAGCUUGUAUACCUCUCGAAGGUGGCCCCACCCUGAAGUUCGGAGGCUUGUCAGAAGCAGGCGCUAUGACUGCCAGCAGUGCUCCUCCAGCGUUUCCUCGCUCAGAGUCUCCCUUCUACGUGGAAGCCAGCAGUAGCACCUCGGACCUGCCUCAGAAUAUAAAAAAUUGGGCCCUCCCUGGUGGUGCGGCG